GAGGGCGGAGUAGUAGUACUCUUUCUCCUCAUAGAUCUCCGAGAGCUUCUUCUCCGCCGCGGUGACGGAGAAAGCCAGAAGUGUUGAUAGAAGUACGGUGAGCUUGUUCAUUGGCCUGCCUUAAAAAGAGAAUCCGACGCUGAAGAUGAUAU
rnacentral:misc_RNA from 1 species